AGCAGAAUAGCUCAGUUGGAUAUAGAGCAUCCCCCAUGAUAAAGCAUGAGAAGGUCCUGGGUUCAAAUCCCAGUUCAGCCA